ACGGUAAGUACCGAGGCUAAUACCGCAUAAUACCCACGGGUCAAAGGAGCAAUUCGCUUGAGGAGGAGGUCGCGGCCGAUUAGUUAGUUGGCGGGGUAAUGGCCCCACCAAGACGGUGAUCGGUAUCCGGCCUGAGAGGGCGCACGGACACACUGGAACUGAAACACGGUCCAGACUCCUACGGGAGGCAGCAGUGGGGAAUUUUGCGCAAUGGGGGAAACCCUGACGCAGCAACGCCGCGUGGAGGAUGAAGUCUCUUGGGACGUAAACUCCUUUCGAUCGGGACGAUUAUGACGGUACCGGAAGAAGAAGCCCCGGCUAACUUCGUG
rnacentral:rRNA from 1 species